rnacentral:misc_RNA from 1 species
UCCGGUUUGGCACCGGCAGUCCCUCUGGAGGAUUUCCCUAUAUGUCAAACCCAGGUAAGGUUCUUCGCGUUGCAUCGAAUUAAUCCGCAUGCUCCGCCGCUUGUGCGGGCCCCCGUCAAUUCCUUUGAGUUUUAGCCUUGCGGCCGUACUCCCCAGGCGGGGCGCUUAAUGCGUUAGCUGCGGCACGGAGGACGUGGAAUGUCCCCCACACCUAGCGCCCAACGUUUACGGCGUGGACUAC